CCUCCAACACCAUCUCCAUUAGAUACUUGACGCUUGAGAGGUAUGACUGUUUUAGUGUCUAUGGUCGAUAAGAUUCUUGUCAUGACUGCUAGUGUGGUCCAGCAUGCAGAACUAUGUAACAUCUACAUAGACCGAACAGAAAAUGAUAAAACGUAAACCGGUCCUUAGAAUGGCCGGACUAAUACGUUAAAAACAGAGAAUGGUCAAGGGAGCCAGAAAUAUACAAUACCAUUUAACAAGCCAAG